rnacentral:rRNA from 1 species
UUCCGGUUGAUCCUGCCGGACCCGACUGCUAUCGGGGUGGCGCUAAGCCAUGGGAGUCGCACAUCCCACCGCCGUGGGGUGUGGCGAACGGCUGAGUAACACGUGGCUAACCUACCCUCGGGACGGGGACAACUCCGGGAAACUGGAGCUUAUCCCCGAUAGGCGGGGAGUCCUGGAACGGUUCUCCGCCCAAAGGGAUGGGAGGGGGUUAUCGCCUUCUAUCCGCCCGAGGAUGGGGCUGCGUCCCAUCAGGUUGUUGGCGGGGUAACGGCCCGCCAAGCCUAUAACGGGUAGGGGCCGUGAGAGCGGGAGCCCCCAGAUGGGCACUGAGACAAGGGCCCAGGCCCUACGGGGCGCACCAGGCGGGAAACCUCCGCAAUGCGGUAACCCGUGACGGGGUCACCCCGAGUGCUCCCCUUAUGGGGAGCUUUUCCCCGCUGCAGGAAGGCGGGGGUAAUAAGUGGGGGGCAAGACUGGUGUCAGCCGCCGCGGUAAUACCAGCCCCACGAGUGGUCGGGACGGUUAUUGGGCCUAAAGCGCCCGUAGCCGGCCCAGCAAGUUCCUGCCUAAAUCACCGGGCUCAACCCGGUGACUGGUGGGAAUACUGCUGGGCUAGGAGGCGGGAGAGGCCGGGGGUACUCCUAGGGUAGGGGCGAAAUCCUAUAAUCCUAGGAGGACCACCAGUGGCGAAGGCGCCCGGCUGGAACGCGCUCGACGGUGAGGGGCGAAAGCUGGGGGAGCAAACCGGAUUAGAUACCCGGGUAGUCCCAGCUGUAAACGAUGCGGACUAAGUUGUUGGAACGGAACCUAAGGUUCCGUCCAGUGCCGCAGGAAA